rnacentral:rRNA from 1 species
GCGUGCUUAACACAUGCAAGUCGAACGAGAACGGGUUAUAGCUUGCUAUAACUGUCAGCUAAGUGGCGCACGGGUGAGUAAUGUAUAGUUAACCUGCCCUCGAGAAAGGAAUAACAGUUGGAAACGACUGCUAAUGCCCUAUAUGCCCAUAAUACAAAAGUAUGCUGGGGAAACGCUUUAGUGCUCGAGGAUGGGACUGUAUGGUAUCAGCUAGUUGGUGAGGUAAUGGCUCACCAAGGCAAUGACGCCUAACUGGUUUGAGAGGAUGAUCAGUCACACUGGAACUGAGACACGGUCCAGACUCCUACGGGAGGCAGCAGUGGGGAAUAUUGCACAAUGGAGGAAACUCUGAUGCAGCAACGCCGCGUGGAGGAUGACACUUUUCGGAGCGUAAACUCCUUUUAUAUAGGAAGAUAAUGACGGUACUAUAUGAAUAAGCACCGGCUAACUCCGUGCCAGCAGCCGCGGUAAUACGGAGGGUGCAAGCGUUACUCGGAAUCACUGGGCGUAAAGAGCGUGUAGGCGG